rnacentral:rRNA from 1 species
AUGCAUGUCUAAGUAUAAGCACUUGUACUGUGAAACUGCGAAUGGCUCAUUAAAUCAGUUAUCGUUUAUUUGAUUGUACUUUUACUACAUGGAUACCUGUGGUAAUUCUAGAGCUAAUACAUGCGAAAAGUCCCGACUUCUGGAAGGGAUGUAUUUAUUAGAUUAAAAACCAAUACGGGUCAAACCGUUCUAUUGGUGAUUCAUGAUAACUUAUCGAAUCGCAGGGCCUAGCGCCGGCGAUGUUUCAUUCAAAUUUCUGCCCUAUCAACUGUCGAUGGUAAGGUAGUGGCUUACCAUGGUCGUAACGGGUGACGGAGAAUUAGGGUUCGAUUCCGGAGAGGGAGCCUGAGAAACGGCUACCACA